CGGGUGCUUCCCCCUAUUCCCCUUUGCCAGCCACAGGGCAAAGGGAUAAUCUCAGCUCAUAAGAAUGGCUGCCUUGAGGUAUAUUCACCUCCAAAGCAAUAAAACAAAAGUACCUCAGGCAGCAUGUGCAGACUGCUAAAAUCAUUCAUUAGAAUUCUUCUCAGCUGUUUUAGUCCAGAAUUUCAGCUACUAAUCCAGGUUAACAGCUCUCCAGCUUUUGAGAGAGGCAGCAAACAAGAAGAUGGCAUUCACCAGGCAUUUGAGAGGAAUCGUUGGAAGAACAAAGCUGUUUUGCCUGCUUUGACACCUGGGCACCCAAAAGGAGACAGAGCCACCCAGAUUCCUCUAUGGAACCUGCUCAUUUCCCCCUCAGAGGGAGCACAAGAAGACUAA
rnacentral:lncRNA from 1 species